AACGAACGCUGGCGGCAGGCUUAACACAUGCAAGUCGAGCGCCCCGCAGGGGGAGCGGCAGACGGGUGAGUAACGCGUGGGAAUCUACCCAUCUCUACGGAAUAACGCAUGGAAACGUGUGCUAAUACCGUAUACGUCCUUCGGGAGAAAGAUUUAUCGGAGAUGGAUGAGCCCGCGUUGGAUUAGCUAGUUGGUGGGGUAAAGGCCUACCAAGGCGACGAUCCAUAGCUGGUCUGAGAGGAUGAUCAGCCACACUGGGACUGAGACACGGCCCAGACUCCUACGGGAGGCAGCAGUGGGGAAUAUUGGACAAUGGGCGCAAUCCUGAUCCAGCCAUGCCGCGUGAGUGAUGAAGGCCCUAGGGUUGUAAAGCUCUUUCACCGGUGAAGAUAAUGACGGUAACCGGAGAAGAAGCCCCGGCUAACUUCGUGCCAGCAGCCGCCGUAAUAC
rnacentral:rRNA from 1 species